UACGUAGGGUGCAAGCGUUGUCCGGAAUUAUUGGGCGUAAAGAGCUUGUAGGCGGUUUGUCGCGUCUGCUGUGAAAAUCCAGGGCUUAACCCUGGACCUGCAGUGGGUACGGGCAGACUAGAGUGCGGUAGGGGAGAUCGGAAUUCCUGGUGUAGCGGUGAAAUGCGCAGAUAUCAGGAGGAACACCGGUGGCGAAGGCGGAUCUCUGGGCCGUAACUGACGCUGAGGAGCGAAAGCAUGGGGAGCGAACAGG
rnacentral:rRNA from 1 species